rnacentral:rRNA from 1 species
UACGAGGGGGGCAAGCGUUGUUCGGAGUUACUGGGCGUAAAGGGUGUGUAGGCGGUUGUUUAAGUUUGGUGUGAAAUCUCCCGGCUCAACUGGGAGGGUGCGCCGAAUACUGAAUGACUUGGAGUGCGGGAGAGGAAAGUGGAAUUCCUGGUGUAGCGGUGAAAUGCGUAGAUAUCAGGAGGAACACCGGUGGUGUAGACGGCUUUCUGGGCCCUACCUGACGCUGAGACGCGAAAGCGUGGGGAGCGAACCGG